CCUACGGGAGGCAGCAGUGGGGAAUAUUGGACAAUGGGGGGAACCCUGAUCCAGCGACGCCGCGUGAGUGAAGAAGUAUUUCGGUAUGUAAAGCUCUAUCAGCAGGGAAGAAAGAAAUGACGGUACCUGACUAAGAAGCCCCGGCUAACUACGUGCCAGCAGCCGCGGUAAUACGUAGGGGGCAAGCGUUAUCCGGAUUUACUGGGUGUAAAGGGAGCGUAGACGGCGAUGCAAGUCUGAAGUGAAAGGCGGGGGCCCAACCCCCGGACUGCUUUGGAAACUGUAUGGCUGGAGUGCAGGAGAGGUAAGUGGAAUUCCUGGUGUAGCGGUGAAAUGCGUAGAUAUUAGGAGGAACACCAGUGGCGAAGGCAGCUUACCGGCGCCCGACUGACGCUGAGGCACGAAAGCGUGGGUAUCGAACAGGAUUAGAUACCCGGGUAGUC
rnacentral:rRNA from 1 species